GUCGAACCAGCUAUAUAAGGCAAGUGCAACCUCUGCUGGUCAGUUGGAUUGACUUCCUCUACAGCAAAGAUGAGAGUGAGUUUUGCGUUCUUGGUGCUGCUGGGGUUCUUGGCGGUGGCACAGACAUCGCCCCAUCACCACGGCCACUCCUGGGAGAGGUCAAAUGAAGAGUUUUCAAGUGAGGAGUUAGAUUGUCAGGGAAAUGCAGUUUCUUCGGUCGCUUCAAGUUCCCCUUCGACCACCGUGGGGACGACCACUUCGGUCACCACGACCACAAUAGAAGCCA